rnacentral:rRNA from 1 species
CUUGGUCAUUUAGAGGAAGUAAAAGUCGUAACAAGGUUUCCGUAGGUGAACCUGCGGAAGGAUCAUUACAGAGUUCAUGCCCUUCGGGGUAGAUCUCCCACCCUUGUGUAUCAUUAUCAAAUGUUGCUUUGGCGGGCCGCAAGCCUGGCUUGCCUGGAUUCGCGUCCGGCGUGCCCGCCGGAGGAUCCAAAACUCUGAAUGUUAGUGUCGUCUGAGUACUAUUAAAUAGUUAAAACUUUCAACAACGGAUCUCUUGGUUCUGGCAUCGAUGAAGAACGCAGCGAAAUGCGAUAAGUAAUGUGAAUUGCAGAAUUCAGUGAAUCAUCGAAUCUUUGAACGCACAUUGCGCCCCUUGGUAUUCCGGGGGGCAUGCCUGUUCGAGCGUCAUUAAUACCAAUCUAGCCCGGCUAGGUGUUGGGCUUCGCCGUCUGGCGGGCCUUAAAAACAGUGGCGGUGCUCUUCAGCUCUACGCGUAGUAAUUUUUCUCGCUAUAGGGUCUGUGGAGAUGCUUGCCAGCAACCCCAAAUUUUUUCAGGUUGACCUCGGAUCAGGUAGGGAUACCCGCUGAACUUAAGCAUAUCAAUAAGCGGAGGA